rnacentral:rRNA from 1 species
AGCGUACACGGUGGAUGCCCUGGCAGUCAGAGGCGAUGAAGGACGUGCUAAUCUGCGAAAAGCGUCGGUAAGGUGAUAUGAACCGUUAUAACCGGCGAUGUCCGAAUGGGGAAACCCAGUGCAAUUCGUUGCACUAUCGUUAACUGAAUACAUAGGUUAACGAGGCGAACCGGGGGAACUGAAACAUCUAAGUACCCCGAGGAAAAGAAAUCAACCGAGAUUCCCCCAGUAGCGGCGAGCGAACGGGGAGCAGCCCAGAGUCUGAAUCAGCUUGUGUGUUAGUGGAACGGUCUGGAAAGUCCGACGGUACAGGGUGAUAGUCCCGUACACCAAAAUGCACAGGUUGUGAACUCGAAGAGUAGGGCGGGACACGUGGUAUCCUGUCUGAAUAUGGGGGGACCAUCCUCCAAGGCUAAAUACUCCUGACUGACCGAUAGUGAACCAGUACCGUGAGGGAAAGGCGAAAAGAACCCCGGCGAGGGGAGUGAAAAAGAACCUGAAACCGUGUACGUACAAGCAGUGGGAGCACCUUCGGGUGUGACUGCGUACCUUUUGUAUAAUGGGUCAGCGACUUAUAUUCUGUAGCAAGGUUAACCGUAUAGGGGAGCCGCAGGGAAACCGAGUCUUAACUGGGCGUUAAGUUGCAGGGUAUAGACCCGAAACCCGGUGAUCUAGCCAUGGGCAGGUUGAAGGUUGGGUAACACUAACUGGAGGACCGAACCGACUAAUGUUGAAAAAUUAGCGGAUGACUUGUGGCUGGGGGUGAAAGGCCAAUCAAACCGGGAGAUAGCUGGUUCUCCCCGAAAGCUAUUUAGGUAGCGCCUCGUGAAUUCAUCUUCGGGGGUAGAGCACUGUUUCGGCUAGGGGGUCAUCCCGACUUACCAACCCGAUGCAAACUACGAAUACCGAAGAAUGUUAUCACGGGAGACACACGGCGGGUGCUAACGUCCGUCGUGAAGAGGGAAACAACCCAGACCGCCAGCUAAGGUCCCAAAGUCAUGGUUAAGUGGGAAACGAUGUGGGAAGGCACAGACAGCCAGGAUGUUGGCUUAGAAGCAGCCAUCAUUUAAAGAAAGCGUAAUAGCUCACUGGUCGAGUCGGCCUGCGCGGAAGAUGUAACGGGGCUAAACCAUGCACCGAAGCUGCGGCAGCGACACUAUGUGUUGUUGGGUAGGGGAGCGUUCUGUAAGCCUGCGAAGGUGGCCUGUGAGGGUUGCUGGAGGUAUCAGAAGUGCGAAUGCUGACAUAAGUAACGAUAAAGCGGGUGAAAAGCCCGCUCGCCGGAAGACCAAGGGUUCCUGUCCAACGUUAAUCGGGGCAGGGUGAGUCGACCCCUAAGGCGAGGCCGAAAGGCGUAGUCGAUGGGAAACAGGUUAAUAUUCCUGUACUUGGUGUUACUGCGAAGGGGGGACGGAGAAGGCUAUGUUAGCCGGGCGACGGUUGUCCCGGUUUAAGCAUGUAGGCUGGUUAUCCAGGCAAAUCCGGAUAAUCAAGGCUGAGGUGUGAUGACGAGGCACUACGGUGCUGAAGUAACAAAUGCCCUGCUUCCAGGAAAAGCCUCUAAGCAUCAGGUAACAUUAAAUCGUACCCCAAACCGACACAGGUGGUCAGGUAGAGAAUACCAAGGCGCUUGAGAGAACUCGGGUGAAGGAACUAGGCAAAAUGGUGCCGUAACUUCGGGAGAAGGCACGCUGGUGUGUAGGUGAAGUCCCUGCGGAUGGAGCUGAGACCAGUCGAAGAUACCAGCUGGCUGCAACUGUUUAUUAAAAACACAGCACUGUGCAAACACGAAAGUGGACGUAUACGGUGUGACGCCUGCCCGGUGCCGGAAGGUUAAUUGAUGGGGUUAUCCGUAAGGAGAAGCUCUUGAUCGAAGCCCCGGUAAACGGCGGCCGUAACUAUAACGGUCCUAAGGUAGCGAAAUUCCUUGUCGGGUAAGUUCCGACCUGCACGAAUGGCGUAAUGAUGGCCAGGCUGUCUCCACCCGAGACUCAGUGAAAUUGAACUCGCUGUGAAGAUGCAGUGUACCCGCGGCAAGACGGAAAGACCCCGUGAACCUUUACUAUAGCUUGACACUGAACAUUGAGCCUUGAUGUGUAGGAUAGGUGGGAGGCUUUGAAGCGUGGACGCCAGUCUGCGUGGAGCCAACCUUGAAAUACCACCCUUUAAUGUUUGAUGUUCUAACGUUGGCCCCUGAUCGGGGUUGCGGACAGUGUCUGGUGGGUAGUUUGACUGGGGCGGUCUCCUCCCAAAGCGUAACGGAGGAGCACGAAGGUUAGCUAAUCCUGGUCGGACAUCAGGAGGUUAGUGCAAUGGCAUAAGCUAGCUUGACUGCGAGCGUGACGGCGCGAGCAGGUGCGAAAGCAGGUCAUAGUGAUCCGGUGGUUCUGAAUGGAAGGGCCAUCGCUCAACGGAUAAAAGGUACUCCGGGGAUAACAGGCUGAUACCGCCCAAGAGUUCAUAUCGACGGCGGUGUUUGGCACCUCGAUGUCGGCUCAUCACAUCCUGGGGCUGAAGUAGGUCCCAAGGGUAUGGCUGUUCGCCAUUUAAAGUGGUACGCGAGCUGGGUUUAGAACGUCGUGAGACAGUUCGGUCCCUAUCUGCCGUGGGCGCUGGAGAAUUGAGGGGGGCUGCUCCUAGUACGAGAGGACCGGAGUGGACGCAUCACUGGUGUUCGGGUUGUCAUGCCAAUGGCACUGCCCGGUAGCUAAAUGCGGAAGAGAUAAGUGCUGAAAGCAUCUAAGCACGAAACUUGCCCCGAGAUGAGUUCU